CUCAUGCCUGUAAUCCCAGCAGCUUGGGAGGAUGAGAUGGGCGGAUCACCCGAGAUCAGGAGUGCAAGGAAAUCAGCAACUUAACCAGGAAAUGUCAGGAUGUGGCUGUCAUCACUGCCAUCCCACCUGACUUUCUGGGAGCCACUUUGACUGAAAACCAGAUUUCUUUCUGGAGCCUGGCUUGGGGUCCUUGCGGUGACGCACACGUGGUGGGACCUGGUGAGGAAGAACCAGCUUUGAUUUGGCC
rnacentral:lncRNA from 13 species